UCCGGUGACGAUGGCUGAGAGGCACCACCUGUUCCCAUCCCGAACACAGCAGUUAAGCUCUCACGCGUCGAAAGUACUUGGCUGGAAGCGGCCCGGGAGGAUAGAUUGUUGCCGGUU
rnacentral:rRNA from 1 species